GCUUGCUGGGGGGGCCAGGCGGAUAGAUCGGUGACUGGGACCGCCAUGGCAGCGCUGGUCCGAGGAUGCAUGGCCGUGUCGCGACCAGUUCAGCUCGCGUCGCAGCCACCCACACGUACUAUAGCUUCGUAGGUGGAGGACCACCGGCGACAGCACCGCGGCGGAAUCCAGGCAGCACAUGCCAAAUUCCGGUGCGGCGUCCCCGUCUUCCCCUGCCACCUCAUUCUCGUGCCUCACGCGCUCUGAUCUCCGCC
rnacentral:lncRNA from 1 species